UAUGAACCUGUUUUGUUUGUUCUUUUGUAGUUUUGCAUAGUUUUCACUCAGUCAUUCACACACACAGAUUCACGCGUCUAUGCACUUUACAUACACCUUACAUUAUGAUACUUCCACUCCUCAUUCCUUUUUCUUAGUUUAAAGUUAAUAGUUUUGUUUACAACAAAGAAUUUUUUAAUUGGCCCAUACCUGUUCGUGUCCCCUCAUUUUUGCCACAAUGAGCCGGCCUCUGACAAGUGGGGGCUUAUCUCGAGUGUCAAUAGGAGGCUCGUGGUGUUUUUGUUUUAGGUGGCAGUGAACGUGGGUAGAGAAUCCCUUUCCGUUUUCCCUUACAUCCGCUCCGGAGCACCUCCGUGGUUAUUGGGGGGGCGCCAGUUUCUGGUUGUCUUUUCCACCCCACUGGUUUUGUGCAUAAAACCCCCACCACAUGUGACUGCACGAAGACCAGGGCCAGUUGUUUUUGGAGGAUAGUGGGGUGUGGCUCCUGUCCUUGAACCCAGACUGACAGCAGAGAGAGUAUGGAACCAGCAGAGAGGGGGGGAAACUAUAUCUGGAAGAAGGCCACCGAGACAGAGGAGCUAUCCAUGAAGAACCACUAAGACGGUGACAAUCCCGUGACCUUUGUUGUAGUUUAAAGAUAAUAUAGAUAAUUAUAUAUUGUGUUUCUGUUUGAUCUGGAGAAGAUGAAUGUUUUUCCUUGGGAG
ensembl:lncRNA